CCUACGGGAGGCUGCAGUGGGGAAUAUUGGACAAUGGGGGGAACCCUGAUCCAGCCAUGCCGCGUGUGUGAAGAAGGCCCUCGGGUUGUAAAGCACUUUCAGUGAGGAAGAACGCCUGGUGGUUAAUACCCAUCAGGAAAGACAUCACUCACAGAAGAAGCACCUGCUAACUCCGUGCCAGCAGCCGCGGUAAUACGGAGGGUGCGAGCGUUAAUCGGAAUUACUGGGCGUAAAGCGCGCGUAGGUGGCUUGAUAAGCCGGUUGUGAAAGCCCCGGGCUCAACCUGGGAACGGCAUCCGGAACUGUCAAGCUAGAGUGCAGGAGAGGAAGGUAGAAUUCCCGGUGUAGCGGUGAAAUGCGUAGAGAUCGGGAGGAAUACCAGUGGCGAAGGCGGCCUUCUGGACUGACACUGACGCUGAGGUGCGAAAGCGUGGGUAGCAAACAGGAUUAGAUACCCUGGUAGUC
rnacentral:rRNA from 1 species